UGGGGAAUAUUGCACAAUGGGCGCAAGCCUGAUGCAGCCAUGCCGCGUGUAUGAAGAAGGCCUUCGGGUUGUAAAGUACUUUCAGUCGGGAGGAAGGUGGUAAGGUUAAUAACCUUAUCAAUUGACGUUACCGACAGAAGAAGCACCGGCUAACUCCGUGCCAGCAGCCGCGGUAAUACGGAGGGUGCAAGCGUUAAUCGGAAUUACUGGGCGUAAAGCGCACGCAGGCGGUCUGUCAAGUCGGAUGUGAAAUCCCCGGGCUUAACCUGGGAACUGCAUUCGAAACUGGCAGGCUAGAGUCUUGUAGAGGGGGGUAGAAUUCCAGGUGUAGCGGUGAAAUGCGUAGAGAUCUGGAGGAAUACCGGUGGCGAAGGCGGCCCCCUGGACAAAGACUGACGCUCAGGUGCGAAAGCGUGGGGAGUAAACAGG
rnacentral:rRNA from 1 species